rnacentral:lncRNA from 1 species
GCCGGGAGUGGUGGCAGGCACCUGUAGUCCCAGCUAUUCGGGAGGCUGAGGCAGGAGAAUGGCAUGAACCCAGGAGGUGGAGCUUGCAGUGAGCCGAGACUGCGACGGUGCACUCCAGCCUGGGUGACAGAGUGAGACUCCGUCUCAAAAAAAAAAAAAAUAUUUAUUUAUUUAUUUGAGACAGAGUUUCGCUCUUGUCACCCAGGCUGGAGUGCAAUGGUGCGAUCUCCACUCACUGCAACCUCUGCCUCCUGGGUUCAAGCAAUUCUCCUGC